rnacentral:tRNA from 1 species
GCCUCGUUAGCUCAGUUGGCAGAGCAGCUGACUCUUAAUCAGCGGGUCGUAGGUUCAACCCCUACACGAGGCA